AGUGAACGCUGGCGGUGGGCCUAACACAUGCAAGUCGAACGGCAGCACAGUAAGAGCUUGCUCUUACGGGUGGCGAGUGGCGGACGGGUGAGGAGUACAUCGGAAUCUACUUUUUCGUGGGGGAUAACGUAGGGAAACUUACGCUAAUACCGCAUACGACCCACGAGUGAAAGCAGGGGAUCUUCGGACCUUGCGCGAUUGAAUGAGCCGCUGUCGGGUUAGCUAGUUGGGGGGGUAAUGUCCCAGCAAGGCGACGAUCCGUAGCCGGUCUGAGAGGAGGGUCAGCCACACGGGAACGGAGACAGGGUCCAGACUCCUACGGGAGGCCGCAGUGGGGAAUAUUGGACAAUGGGCGCGAGCCUGAUCCAGCUAUACCGAGUGGGUGAAGAAGGCCUUCGGGUUGUAAAGCCCUUUUGUUGGGAAAGAAAAGCAGCAGGUUAAGACGCCGCGGUUCUGACGGUACCCAAUGAAGAAGCACCGGCUAACUUCGUG
rnacentral:rRNA from 1 species